rnacentral:lncRNA from 1 species
GCACGAGAGCAGAGCGAGGGAUUGCAUUACUCCAGGCCUUGCUGUGCGCAGAGCGAGCAAAGAGGACAUCUGUGUGAGAGGCAAGGGCUCUAAGAAGGGAGCGUGGUGGACGAUCAGUUGCUCCUACACCAUUCUUGACCUUUAUUCUUGAUCUCUGCAAUGGCAGCUGUGCCCUCUGCUGGUUGCCUCCUGGCCAAGAACCAGUAUUACCGAACACGACUGAAUUCUGAUUCCAGUGUUUCUUCAAGCAGUUCAUCUUGCUGUUCUGAACCCACAGCCUUUUCAGACCAGGAAAAAUCUUUACACGGGUUGCCUGAACUGUUUGAAAAAUGUUGGUGGAUAAAAAGUUUUUUCCACUGUGAACCAGCCGCACCUCAGACUGUUGGCAGAAAAACCUUAUCAGCCAGCAGUAUUAACAGCUGACUUGGACAACAGAUUGAGGAUUUCAAACCCACAGACUCAUAUGUGGUUGCACUCAGCUGUGUGAAGAAAACAAUCUGCUAAGACUUCAGUUCCAAGAGAAGUACAAAAUAGAUUUCAAAGGAUUUUAUUCAUAGCUUAUUCUUACCAUCAGCCAUCAUUUUAUCUUUCCAUGACUGCUUGCAGAGUUCAUGAUAGUGAACAGCUGUUAUAUAUUUCAUAAUGAUUCGGGCUUGUCAUUGAAGGAAAUCCAAGUGAAAGUCUUGUUAGCAAGGAGUAUUUGCCAGUGUUUCUAGUCUCAGAAAAAUUGAAAUUUUUUUGCAAACUAUUUAAUGUAGCAGUGUCUUUGGAUGCAUUUUUUAAAUAUCUUUCUUCAUAAUUUCAAUCCAGUGAAGUUUGUUUCAGUUACACCUCAUGAUGUUAAUGGAAUUGAAAUAAUCACUAACUUUUCCCCUAGUUUAACUAAUUUAAUUUCUGUCUAACUAGGAUUGUAGAACCUUAUCACCAUACACAACUUAUUUUAAAAAAUGUCAGAUGCAGAAGGAAGCAAAUGUUUCUAGAAUACUAGAAGCAAAUUUUAGUGUGAAUUCAUUACUGAGUGUGCACUCUUUACAGGAGGUUGGUCCUGUUGCAUUUGUUGUAAAUAUGUGUUACUAGGAUCAUUUUUUCUUUCGUUGACAUCAAAUAAAUUUGCCCUACAUCUGUAUGAUCUGCA